CCUCCCUUCCCUUCCCCAGUAAAUCGUAGUUUCGCUAUCGUAGUUUUGGCUGAAGUCUAGCGUAUUUUUUUGCGUAUUUUUUGACACAAAACGACGUAAAAAACUACGCAAAAAACAGCUCAAAUUUGCGCAGCGGGAAGCAUGAUAAAAUUCUCUGAACGCCUUGAUUUCUUCCGUCGCUUUGCGCAGCGGGCGCUAUGAACCAAAUCUAAACUAUCUCCUUUAAAUAAAUGAAAGAUGUUAUUUUCUCGUGCUGUUCCUCAUGGGACAGAUUAGCUUCCAUCUACGACAACCCCCCCCCCCCCCCCCGCUCAACACUUCAAAGCCUACCGAAAACUACCGAAAUAAUCUUAAACUCCUACCGAAAACUACCGAUAAAAUUUUGAUGCGCCUACCGAAAACCGCAAAAAUAAUCUGGCCACUCUGCGUCUGACGCACCAACCAAGGAUAAUGUCAAGGUUAUUAGACUCUAUACAGGUUACGACAGAGCGUUUUAGAGGGUCACCAUUAUGGAUACCUUGUUUACAAUUUGUCUGUCAAAAUAGAUGCCGGCCAGCUGUUGCUUGGCAUGAACAACAUAAAUAAGUUUACCGAAGACGAAAUUACUGCUACAGUUUUUCUUAAUGCUAACUCGUUAUAUCAUUUAUAGAAUAUGACUUCUAUGUUGGAUUGGUUAAUGCUGAGUUUGGUAUUGCAGUCCCAGCUUCAGUGGACGAGGGUUCAUGCCGCCCAGCAGCAGCAGUGUCCAAACUGGGUUAUUCCAGAUGCUGCCCCUCGUGUGGGAAGUGGCCAGAUCCCAUGUUGCUUCGCGCAUAACAGCUCGUCCUUUAUUCGGAGUGGAACGGACACGGAAUAAUUCAGUGAAAGAGUAUCGAUGUGAUGACACCCUUUUGACUAUGUUGGUCAGGGAACUUGUGAUGAUGUGGUGCAAAAAAAUGCUACCGGCAUCACUUUCGUUCCGCUAUUGCACUUGACCCGAGCUAGGACCGCGACGGCGCUGACGAACUUGCGGCAGCGGGGAUGAUGCGAAUCCCUCCUUCGAAAUUGCGGUGCUGAGAUGAUGAUAAAGUAGAAGCUUGUGUGGCAUGGUCUCGUCCUUACUAAAACACUGCUUAAGCUACACCCAAGGUGACAUGAAUCAUCGACCCCCACAGGAAUAAGGCUGCAGCCAGAACGGAAUGAACAUUUGUUUUCUUUGAACUGGAACGGCAACAGUGGCAGCAUAGACGAUCGUCUCGAACACGACGACUGCAACGAACCGACAUGGAACCGCGGACAAUAACUUAAAUAACCACUAUGCAUAAGCACAAAUAUACUUAUGGUUUAUUUCCUAA